rnacentral:rRNA from 1 species
UACGUAGGGGGCGAGCGUUGUCCGGAUUUAUUGGGCGUAAAACGCUUGUAGGCGGCCGCGCCAAGUCGGAUGUGAAAUCUCCCGGCUCAACUGGGAGGGGUCAUCCGAUACUGGCGGGCUCGAGGCAGGUAGGGGGAAGCGGAAUUCCCGGUGUAGUGGUGGAAUGCGUAGAUAUCGGGAGGAACACCAGUGGCGAAGGCGGCUUCCUGGACCUGUUCUGACGCUGAGGAGCGAAAGCGUGGGGAGCGAGCCGG